GACGAACGCUGGCGGCGUGCCUAAUACAUGCAAGUAGAACGCUGAAGAGAGGAGCUUACUCUUCUUGGAUGAGUUGCGAACGGGUGAGUAACGCGUAGGUAACCUGCCUUGUAGCGGGGGAUAACUAUUGGAAACGAUAGCUAAUACCGCAUAACAAUGGAUGACACAUGUCAUUUAUUUGAAAGGGGCAAUUGCUCCACUACAAGAUGGACCUGCGUUGUAUUAGCUAGUAGGUGAGGUAAUGGCUCACCUAGGCGACGAUACAUAGCCGACCUGAGAGGGUGAUCGGCCACACUGGGACUGAGACACGGCCCAGACUCCUACGGGAGGCAGCAGGAGGGAAUCUUCGGCAAUGGGGGCAACCCUGACCGAGCAACGCCGCGUGAGUGAAGAAGGUUUUCGGAUCGUAAAGCUCUGUUGUAAGUCAAGAACGGGUGUGAGAGUGGAAAGUUCACACUGUGACGGUAGCUUACCAGAAAGAGACGGCUAACUACGUG
rnacentral:rRNA from 1 species